rnacentral:rRNA from 1 species
AUUGAACGCUGGCGGCAGGCCUAACACAUGCAAGUCGAGCGGAUGAAGGGAGCUUGCUCCUGGAUUCAGCGGCGGACGGGUGAGUAAUGCCUAGGAAUCUGCCUGGUAGUGGGGGAUAACGUCCGGAAACGGGCGCUAAUACCGCAUACGUCCUGAGGGAGAAAGUGGGGGAUCUUCGGACCUCACGCUAUCAGAUGAGCCUAGGUCGGGUUAGCUAGUUGGUGGGGUAAAGGCCUACCAAGGCGACGAUCCGUAACUGGUCUGAGAGGAUGAUCAGUCACACUGGAAAUGGGAAACGGUCCAGACUCCUAAGGGAGGCAGCAGUGGGGAAUAUUGGACAAUGGGCGAAAGCCUGAUCCAGCCAUGCCGCGUGUGUGAAGAAGGUCUUCGGAUUGUAAAGCACUUUAAGUUGGGAGGAAGGGCAGUAAGUUAAUACCUUGCUGUUUUGACGUUACCAACAGAAUAAGCACCGGCUAACUUCGUG